rnacentral:rRNA from 1 species
AUGUACCCUUCUCUAUGGAAUAGCCAUUGGAAACGAUGAGUAAUACCAUGUACGCCCUUCGGGGGAAAGAUUUAUCGGAGAAGGAUCAGCCCGCGUUAGAUUAGAUAGUUGGUGGGGUAAUGGCCUACCAAGUCUACGAACUAUAGCUGGUUUUAGAGGAUGAUCAGCAACACUGGGACUGAGACACGGCCCAGACUCCUACGGGAGGCAGCAGUGGGGAAUCUUAGACAAUGGGCGCAAGCCUGAUCUAGCCAUGCCGCGUGUGUGAUGAAGGCCUUAGGGUCGUAAAGCACUUUCGCCAGGGAUGAUAAUGACAGUACCUGGUAAAGAAACCCCGGCUAACUCCGUGCCAGCAGCCGCGGUAAUACGGAGGGGGUUAGCGUUGUUCGGAAUUACUGGGCGUAAAGCGCACGUAGGCGGAUCAGAAAGUUGGGGGUGAAAUCCCAGGGCUCAACCCUGGAACUGCCUCCAAAACUCCUGGUCUUGAGUUCGAGAGAGGUGAGUGGAAUUCCAAGUGUAGAGGUGAAAUUCGUAGAUAUUUGGAGGAACACCAGUGGCGAAGGCGGCUCACUGGCUCGAUACUGACGCUGAGGUGCGAAAGUGUGGGGAGCAAACAG